CACAUUGAGGAAAGUUAUUAUGAAAAUUAUUUUAAUAUUAAGUGAAAACUUUAACUAUAUAAAUGCGGGUAGCGAACGGGAACCGGGAUGCUGAGAGGCUGCGAAAAUCGAUGUUGCUUGGACGACGUCGUAUCAACGAAAGGAGCGCGCGCUGCUUUCUCUAUUCCUUUUUUUUUUUUAAAUUAGACUGCAGAAUGUCAUCGCGUUUGGGUGCAUGUGCGUGUAUAUGUGUCAAUGUGUGGUGUUCGCUCGCGUGAUGAGGUGAUUAGUCGAUUCGGUGUGAUGAAUUGAUGCAGAUGUGAUGCGACGUCGCUACUCAUUUAGCCAC